AGCGGGCUGAUUACGAGCACACACUUUGCGUUAUAAGUUGCGAUAAAUAACGAAGGUUUGCGAAGAAUAUCGCAGGAACCAGCAACGUGAUUACGAACACAUCGUGUUUCGUUAAACUUCGAAUAUUGAUGACGUUGUGGCGGUAUAUAUCGCAAACUUUGAUUACGAGCACACUUUUCAAGUGAUAUUUAUCGCACCGAGCUACGUUAUAUAUCACGGGCAUUUCAAGUGGUGAUACGAAGCGAUUGUGAGGUUCUACACAAUGGCCUUUGCUGCCUUUCUGCUAAAUAUCGAACUGGAGGAGAAGGCAGAGAAGAUUGUUAAGAAACCAUCAAAAUCCCUUCGAAUUGCCAGAUUGCACCCUCAUAGCAGUUGGAAAACCUUAGAAAAUGAAGAAACAUGAAGAAACAAGCUAUGCAAUUUAAUAAAUACUUUGUUAUCAAGUUUGUUGCAUUUAUUAAAGAAAUUGUGAAAUGAAAAUAGUGUUCACUCAUUUCCAUGUUACUUUUGAGUAUAACUUGGAUAUUAUAUUAAACACAUGUUAACUUUUUGUUUUCUGGUUUCAGCAGAUGAUCUCAUUGUCCUGAGAGAGUUGGCAGUGGCUUUUUUGAACCAUUGUUUUUUUUUGUGUGUAAAAAAUAGAUACUAUGAAUCAUUUAAUGAUAGGUUGUUAUUUAAAGUAAAUCUCAUACAUACAUGUGCUGCUUCAUGUUUACAGGUUUUUUAUUUAAAAAUUUUGCAAUUUCAGACUUUGUUUUGGUUUUAAACGAAAAAUAUUUACAAAGAGUGUAUUAUUUAAUAGCUCAAUUAUUUCCAUGGAUGGUUAUAAUUAAACAAUUAUUAAUAUUAACUAUUAAUAGCCUGUCCAAUAAAAAAAAUUAAUGCACAUGUCUGUAAGGAUACAAAAAAUGAUUUCUUAACACAAUAUUUUCUCAUAAUUGGCAAUUUUAGCACAUGCUUCCAGCAUGCCUUUUAACUUUCCUUUAAGUUCUUUGAUGCAUUUUUAAUCAAAUUUCUUGUUACCAUUUCAGAAGCACAUAUUCCCAAUGCUUCUCAUCAGCUGCCAGCUAUCUUUCUUGAAUGCUGCUCUUUUUUUUUAUUAUUUUUAAAUUGUACUAUUAAUCAUUACCAGUAUGAAUUGUAUAGGUUACACUAGGUAUUAUAGAGGCAGAGUUAUAAUAAAGGAGGUGCUAAUAACAAAGCACACAUUCUAUAAAGUAUGCUGACUAAAAGUAUUAUCAAGGUUUUUCCAGUCAAAGAUUUCACAAUGCUUGUAUAUAACCAUUCUUUACUUUUUUUUUUUGUGUAAACAAGAUAUAACAUGGAAGAAUUUCAUUAGGCUAGCUGACUAUCAAUGCAAGUUCCAGCAGGUACAACUGCUAGUUGUUGCCAGUGAGCCCAUUUGUAUACAGUAUAGACAUUGUUUCAUGUGGAUGAAUAUAAAAAAAAUAUGUUGAACUAAUUUUUAUUAUUGUAAGUUUAGAAUCAAUGUAGGUAUGUUUAUUGAGACCGAGACAAGUACAAACAAAUUAAAUGGCACACAUUGCAUUUAGUUAGAUAAUUCAGGAACAAAUAUUGACUUAGUAUGAUUCAUCUUGCGAUAAAGUUUGGUACAGCUCCAUUCCUUGCACCUCCCCAGUCAACACACUGCAUCUUAAUAUCUUAUGAAUUGUUAUCAUCACUCACUGUUCUUAUCUUUCUAUUUAUCAUCAGAAUAACCAAUAACCAUUAAAUCUGUGCUUAGAUGUGUGUGAAUAUUAAAAUAAGCAAUUUUUGAGAUAGUAUUUAGAGAUCAAAUCAAAUGUUUCUUAAAAUAUGUGAUGAAGCCUUUGAACAGCUUAUUUAACUAUAUUAAGUAAAAUUUAACUUAAAUAAAAGACUAAUACAGUAAAUUAAUAUGUAACUGAUUGUGACUGAUGGCUAUUAUAACAAAUACUUAUGCAUAAAAAAACUCUUAGGUUUCUUGGCUAUCUUAUGAAAACACAAGGAUUGUAAGAGGUCUUGUUUUAAUAAUGAACCUACCAGGGGUAUAUGUAGGGACAAGAGGUAUAUAUGCCUCCCCCAAAAUCCUAAAAGAAAAAUCUAUAUUCCCCCCCCCCCCCCCCCCCCCCCAAAAAAAAAUAAA